rnacentral:rRNA from 1 species
GACGAACGCUGGCGGCGUGCCUAAUACAUGCAAGUCGAGCGGGGAUUAUGCUUGAUCGCUUCGGUGAGACGGCAUAUAUCCUAGCGGCGGACGGGUGAGUAACGCGUGGGUAAUCUACCUCGUAGUUCGGGAUAACAGGCCGAAAGGCUUGCUAAUACCGGAUGAGUUCAUGCUUAUGCAUAUAGGCAUGAAGAAAGGGCUAGCCCGCUAUGAGAUGAGCCCGCGUCCCAUUAGCUUGUUGGUGGGGUAAUGGCCUACCAAGGCAACGAUGGGUAGCCGGCCUGAGAGGGUGUACGGCCACACUGGGACUGAGACACGGCCCAGACUCCUACGGGGGGCAGCAGUAGGGAAUUUUCGGCAAUGGGCGAAAGCCUGACCGAGCGACGCCGCGUGAGGGACGAAGGCCUCGGUUGUAACCGUACUCGUCGUGGGGUGUGGUAGGAACGGAACGGGUACCCCGGGACCGGGGAACGGACCCCGGGACCGUAACCCGUAACCGUAGGCCGACGCCGACGACCCGGCCGGGUAAAACGUACCGAACGUACGUAACGUUACG